UACGUAGGGUGCAAGCGUUGUCCGGAAUUAUUGGGCGUAAAGAGCUCGUAGGCGGCUCGUCGCGUCGGCUGUGAAAACCUGGGGCUCAACCCCGGGCCUGCAGCCGAUACGGGCGAGCUAGAAUUCGGUAGGGGAGACUGGAAUUCCUGGUGUAGCGGUGAAAUGCGCAGAUAUCAGGAGGAACACCGGUGGCGAAGGCGGGUCUCUGGGCCAUUACUGACACUGAGAAGCGAGGGCGUGGGGAGCGAACGGG
rnacentral:rRNA from 1 species